GACGAACGCUGGCGGCGUGCCUAAUACAUGCAAGUUGAGCGCUGAAGGUUGGUACUUGUACCAACUGGAUGAGCAGCGAACGGGUGAGUAACGCGUGGGGAAUCUGCCUUUGAGCGGGGGACAACAUUUGGAAACGAAUGCUAAUACCGCAUAAAAACUUUAAACACAAGUUUUAAGUUUGAAAGAUGCAAUUGCAUCACUCAAAGAUGAUCCCGCGUUGUAUUAGCUAGUUGGUGAGGUAAAGGCUCACCAAGGCGAUGAUACAUAGCCGACCUGAGAGGGUGAUCGGCCAAAUUGGGACUGAGACACGGCCCAAACUACUACGGGAGGCAGCAGUAGGGAAUCUUCGGCAACGGACGAAAGUCUGACCGAGCAACGCCGCGUGAGUGAAGAAGGUUUUCGGAUCGUAAAACUCUGUUGGUAGAGAAGAACGUUGGUGAGAGUGGAAAGCUCAUCAAGUGACGGUAACUACACAGAAAGGGACGGCUAACUACGUG
rnacentral:rRNA from 1 species